UACGUAGGGUGCGAGCGUUAAUCGGAAUUACUGGGCGUAAAGGGCGCGUAGGUGGCCUGUUAAGUCGAACGUGAAAUCCCCGGGCUCAACCUGGGAACUGCAUUUGUGACUGCAUCGCUGGAGUGCGGCAGAGGGGGAUGGAAUUCCGCGUGUAGCAGUGAAAUGCGUAGAUAUGCGGAGGAACACCGAUGGCGAAGGCAAUCCCCUGGGCCUGCACUGACGCUCAUGCACGAAAGCGUGGGGAGCAAACAGG
rnacentral:rRNA from 1 species